rnacentral:rRNA from 1 species
GAUGAACGCUGGCGGCGUGCCUAAUACAUGCAAGUCGAGCGAACAGAUGAGGAGCUUGCUCCUCUGACGUUAGCGGCGGACGGGUGAGUAACACGUGGAUAACCUACCUAUAAGACUGGGAUAACUUCGGGAAACCGGAGCUAAUACCGGAUAAUAUAUUGAACCGCAUGGUUCAAUAGUGAAAGACGGUUUUGCUGUCACUUAUAGAUGGAUCCGCGCCGCAUUAGCUAGUUGGUAAGGUAACGGCUUACCAAGGCAACGAUGCGUAGCCGACCUGAGAGGGUGAUUGGCCACACUGGAACUGAGACACGGUCCAGACUCCUACGGGAGGCAGCAGUAGGGAAUCUUCCGCAAUGGGCGAAAGCUUGACGGAGCAACGCCGCGUGAGUGAUGAAGGUCUUCGGAUCGUAAAACUCUGUUAUUAGGGAAGAACAAAUGUGUAAGUAACUAUGCACGUCUUGACGGUACCUAAUCAGAAAGCCACGGCUAACUACGUG